UCUGGGUUACACAGUUAGUCCUCCGGAAUAACUGAAGGAAAUUAAGUUACGACAAAUUAUAGGUCCUUGUGACAAGUGGUUAAAAUGUCUUCCUUACAUAUCUCCUCUUAUUUUUAAUAUAGGUGCUGUAAAAUAUACAUUUCUUUAAAAACAUGUGAAGAGUGAGGCUGAGGGACAACGAACAGCUAUCAGAAACAGAAGACCCCAUGGUGGUGGCCGUGGCUGUGUGCUGACCGACUAGCAGGAGUGGGCCGUGGUGGAAAUGAUGAGGGCCAGGAAUGACAUACGGCUGUCCGAAAUAAAGCAGGCCAUUGAGGAGAACGAUGACACCUUUGCCAAUGUGGCAUCCAUCAGCCUACCAACAUUCGCAUGCCUUUUGAAGAGGCACCAGCUAUCUAUGAAACACAUUUACCUGAUGCCUUUUGAGAGAAACAACGACUGGGUGAAACAACUGCAGGCUGAGUAUGUUCAGGCUUCAACCUGGCCAAAACUUGACGCCGUGGGCAGAACCUCAUCGGCCAACGGGCAACCGUCCAAGUGCCUGCACAAACAUGUGCUCAGCUAUCUCUGAGGAUGGUGUGGUAGGACGUAGGUCAUUACUAGGAUCCUACAACUCUGCACACCUCAAUGUGGUUCUCAAUGAAAUUGAGCAGGCUUGUCAAGGUGAAGGGGUCACCUAUGUCAUUGUGUGGGACAAUGUCAGGUUCCACCAUGCAGAGGUAGUUCAGGCAUGGUUUCGUGCCCAUCCCUGAUUCGUGAACCUAUACCUGCCCCCAUACUCUCCUUUCCUCAACCCCAUUGAGGAAUCUUUUCAGCACGGAGGUAGAAGGUGUACGAUCGCCAUCCCCAUGAGCGUGCCACCCUCCUUCUGACCAUGGAUGAGGCAUGCGACAACAUCAAUACAGACCAAUGUCAAGCUUGGAUUCGCCGUGCCAAAAGCUGUUUCCUGUGGCACAUGAACAAUGAGGACAUUCACUGUAAUGUGGGUGAGAAUUUAUGGCCAAAUGCUCAAGACAGGCUUGAUGCAAAUUAAUGUGUGCUAAAUGUAAUGUUUUAUUUUAAUUCAUUUAAUUUGUUUCAUUUAAAUUCUGACAUUUGAUUGCAGACAGGACACCUAUUUUGCAAUUACAUCUGAAAAAUAAAAUCAUUGAUCACACUUUUGAUUACACAUUGGAUAGAUAUUAUGGACAUUUUGUUGGGUAAUGUAAGCGUAUUACCUAAUGUGAAAACUGUAAUCUACUGUAAUUUACUGUAAUCUGCUGUAAUAUACUGUUUCAGAACUGUAGCAUAUUACUUUCAACACUUCUAAGGGCCAUUUGAAACACAUACUGUAUAUAGCAUUAUUUGCUUUUGGAUUACCUGGUUAUGAAGACUACUAAAUUGAAAAUAUGUUUUGGUGAUUCAACCUAUGUUCUAUGUUUUAUAUUUUGAAUCAAUGGUUGUGUUAUGAGAGACGUUUACAAUCCAAAUGAAUACACAAUGAUAGGUUUUGAAUGAAAGACUGGCUGUGUUACAUGUGUGACCAGUUUGGAGUUUCGCACUUAAAGUUGAGAAAAUGUACCACAAACUUGUGAAAA